rnacentral:rRNA from 1 species
GACGAACGCUGGCGGCGUGCUUAACACAUGCAAGUCGAACGAAGUGGCGAACGGGUGAGUAACGCGUAAUCAACCUGCCCUUCAGAGGGGGACAACAGUUGGAAAAGACUGCUAAUACCGCACACUGAAGGAGGGGAGGGCGUCUGAUUAGCUAGUCGGAGGGGUAACGGCCCCCCAAGGCGUUCAUCCGUAGCCGGUCUGGGAGGAAUAACGGCCACAUUGGGACUGGGCCCCGGCCCAGACUCCUACGGGAGGCAGCAGUUGGGGAUCUUCCGCAAUGGACGAAAAUCUGACGGAGCACCGCCGCGUGAGUGAUGACGGCCUUCGGGUUGUAAAGCUCUGUUAAUCGGGACGCGGUACCCGAAUAGAAAGCCACGGCUAACUACGUGCCAGCAGCCGCGGUAAUAC